UUAGGUUGAGCUGUAAUAAUUUUUUUACCUUUUCACCUUUCUCGCCAGCCAAUCCCUCAACGCCAGGGUCACCCUAAGAGCGACAGAGAGGAAAAGAUGAAGAAAAGGAGAGAGAAUGCUGACAGUCGAAGAUGUUUAGAGGUGAAAUACACAACGUUUCUGACAAUUCCGUUUAAAAGAGCCAAAGUGCUACUCACAACGUCCCCUUUUGAACCAACUUUUCCUUGGAAGCCCUAGAAAGAGGGAUUGACGAAGUACAUGAAAACAUGGUCAAACAUAAACUAAAUAAGCUAAAUAUUGAUUGAAGCCAGUAACACCAGAGAUCACAAAGUAGGAUGGAUGUUUCCUCACUCCUAAAAUAAAGAACAUGAAGAUACUUAAAUUAUCAUUUAUAUUGCUUAUUUAUAUUGCUUGCCUCAUUCAAUGAUUUACUGUGGAUUUCUUGGACUUUUAUUCAUGGUUAAACACUGCCCUCAAUAGGCAAGUAGGUGCAACUACAAUACUCUGUGAGCAUACUGGGCAAUAAUGCACAUUUUAGACACAAUGAUAUCUGUAUUUUUUCACGCACACAAAUGCACAGACCUUGUCUCCUUUAGUUCCACUAAGACCCUGGGCACCUGGGACACCAAUGGGGCCUCUCUCUCCUUUGCCUCCCUGUUAGGAGAUUAUAUAAAUAAUGUUACAAGUACAUCCUGCGCUCUGUUCAAAAUGCAUUUGAAAAAGACACAAUGCAGCUUACAGGCUUGCCGACGACUCCCUGUGGCCCAACUGCGCCCCGCUGGCCUCUGUCACCCUGCAGAUAUCAGCUGAGGUGAGUAGACAUAGUUUAAAGCAGUAGUUCUCAGUGUUUUAAUGUAAUAUUUUGGGUUUAUACCUUGGGUCCAGGGACUCCUUCCAUACCAGGCUCACCAGGAAGACCAGGCUCACCCUAAGAGGAUGCAAAAAUACAAAUAAUCACGCCACUGCACAAUUUAAGCUUGUAAUACCUUAAAAAGAGAGAAAAAAAAAACAUAAUUCUGGAAAUGUUUACCAAAGGUCCCGAGGCACCAGCCAUGCCGAUAUGACCCCUAGGUCCAGGUUCUCCCUGGCAAGAGAAGAUUACAUGAGAAAGGUAUAUACUGAAUAAGAAUGAAAACCUGAAAAAUGCUUAAAUUAGUAGUAAACAUCAGCUAAAAGAUAUACCUUAGCUCCAGCUCCACCCUUCGCCCCAGGGCUGCCAGGUAAUCCCUACAGGCAGAAUCAACACAAGUGAAAUUAAUGUAAAUCAAACCAUUCUGCACAAUACAGAGGAUAAAUCUGAAAAUGCAAGUGGGAAUGGCUGUGGGUAUUAGUGUACAGGUGCUGGUAAUAAUGUUGGUGCCUGAUAUAAUAAUAAUAACAAUGAAAACAGGCUAAGUGGCUUCCAUAGCUAUACACCCUACAGUGAUUGUGUGUGUGUGUGUGUGUGUGUGUGUGUGUGUGUGUGUGUGUGUGUGUGUGUGUGUGUGUGUGUGUGUGUGUGUGUGUGUGUGUGUGUGUGUGUGUGUGUGUAUGUGUGUGUGUGUGUGUGAUGGUGUAUCACAGCUGAGCAUAAAGCAGGCUAAGUUACGGUGUUUGAGUUUGCAGCAGUGUUCGUGUCACCGCAGUGACCACACAGUAAAGUGUACAUCUCAUGCUCCAUUACCCCUUAGUCAGAAAGAUGCGCACACAAACACACACUUGUGUAUACCCACUGGCCUGAUUGUGAUAAAUCGCUUGCGGUGGGAGGGAGAAUGCUAUUUCAAGGUGGUUUACAUUCUAAAACAGUGUGGGUCAUAGGGUCACUGUUAACCUGGAUGACUGCCCAGAAAACCAAACAUAUCAAAAUUUACAGGCUGCUUCACGCUGGUUUCCCCUGUCUGUGUUGCGGCUUUGUCGAAUUGAGGAGGAGAACAGAUUGCCCCCCUACGUGAUCUGAGUGACAAUAAGUGUUACUGACAAGUUUAUUUGCAUGUGUUUUUAGUGGCAUUGCUGAACAACCCUCAAACAACCAGAUAUCCUCCCCCAAUACACCAAAAUAUCACUCACUGCUGCUCCCUGAGGACCAGGAGGACCAGGCAUCCCAGCAUGCCCAGGGCCACCCUGCAUGAAAGAGAGCAAAAGAGGAAUAAAUUGCCAUCGUAUUGAAGCUACACCUCAUUAUCACCAUUGGCACUCACUUACCUUGACUCCAGGAAUACCAGGUGUGCCAUCUUUCCCAUCAAUACCCGGCAGACCCUGAAAAAGCAGGCAGAUGAGUGAGUGGACUUCAUUUGGCACACUGUCUGAUCACCUCCACUGCUGUGCAGAGCACAAACAAAAGUGCGUUCACUCACAUUCUCUCCCUUUUUGCCAACUGCACCCUGUGGGCCCUGGAUACCUCGACUGCCCUGCAGAAGAUAACCAAAUCAGUCUCAGUGUAUUCACAAUGCACAUCAGGGUCAUUGUUUCCAUUCAAGUUCGAAAAAAUAUUUCAUCUUCUUUUUUUUUCCUUUUUUUUUCUCCACAUGUGCCACUGCUUUGACAAUAAACUUCAAGGGAAAACACAAGGAAAGUCACCCACUUUGUCUCCCUUGUCUCCUGCCUCUCCGGGUGGUCCCUGAGGUCCCUCCUCACCCUGCAAAAAAAAUGAAGAGGCUCAGACUAUCUAAGGUCAACAUUUAGACGCUUGCCUUUGGGCCAGGGCUCCCGAUGGGACCUCGAUCACCUUUUGCUCCAAUCAAACCCUGCAGACAGACGGAAAGGGAUGAAAGCAGGAAGUUUGUCUUCCCACACGACUGGAUGAAGCUGCUGGAGUUGGCCUGCUAAAAGGUGAUCAGCUUAACAGAUUGCUAUAAUCAUGAGCGCCUGGUUUCAAAUGAGGCAGAAAACUUAUAAAGACACACAUUUGUAAUUUAAACAUUUUUCCCCUUAUUAUUAUUAUUUUUAUUUAUUUAUUUAUUUAUUUUUUUUUACACAUUUAGCCUCUCGGAUUAGGUAAAAUAGCCACAAAAAAGGUUCAUAGCAUCCCAUAUACCAUAGUGAUCCACUCCUGCCUGCAGGUGCAGAAGAGCUGCUUACUGAGUUUACUCUGAGCAGCAGGCAUGGAAGUAAAUUACUAUACAACCGAUUUGUGGAUCUUUACCACUUCUGUCAACUGGUCUGACUCACUGCUGUGCCACUUCCCUGUCUUGUCUGUCCAUGUAUUCUCAGUGUUCUCUCUUUGAGCCACAGUGUUAUCAGUUGUGGAUUUUUCACCUUGUGAUAUUGCAGUAUUCUGUCUGAUUAGCAAACAAAAGUUAGGAGGGCAGGUUGGCAAUGUUAGCUGACACUGGUUCAACAAAUUGGUUGGGCACUUUAGAGCUAGUGCAAUCCAGCUUUAGCUAAUGGAAAGUUUGUUUGGAAAUAGUUGACCAAGGAAGCUCAUUCAACACACAACCUGUGUUUGUGUAUAUUCUAUUUUCAGUUAGUGGUCACAGUUUAGCUGAAUGGCAUGUUUCUCACCCUUCUAAAUAGUCAUUCUCUUGUGUGUCAGCCGAAAAGGGAAAAGAUUUUUGACAGGUUCAACUGAAGCAACUCAAAGUUGGGGCUCUAAAAAAUCUGGGAUUGUUUCAUUAUUUAUUUUUGUCAGGAAGAAAAUGGUAAAAUGUUCAUUAAUACAGUUUGCAAGGACUGUAUAAAGCUAAAUUCAUUUUAAAUAUAUAUAUGUGUGUGUGUGUGUAUUUUUUUCUAUAACAUGGAUAUUUAUCUUUUUUUAUAUUUUAGGUAUGCAAGCCAUUUUUUUGCACUCAGGAAGCAAGUCAUUUUGCACAAUGUAAAUGUAAAUAUUACAUCAUAGAUUUUCUGCAUCAUUCAAUCUUUGUACACUGUAUUUUUCUACAAUAUAUAUUUAUAUUUUGCACAUUCUCUAAGUCUAGUCUUUCUGCGAAAAGUUUUUGUAUCUCUCUAUCUGUCUGUCUGUCUGUCUGUCUGUCUGUCUGUCUGUCUGUCUGUCUGUCUGUCUGUCUGUCUGUCUGUCUAUCUAUUUAUCUAUCUAUCGAUCUAUCUAUCUGUCUGUCUGUCUGUCUGUCUAUCUAUCUAUCUAUCUAUCUAUCUAUCUAGUGAGCCAACAACAAGCAACACGUGACAGCAAAGCAAGGCAAACUCACAAAUUCACAUUACCACACUCACACAGAAAUACCUCUAUCAUUUUCAGUCUUCUGAAAAGUUUCACACUAAUGAGCUCCAAUUAGUGACCAUGUUACCACCUCCACAACCGGACACUAGCAGCCUACACUAAUUGUGCACAUGUCCAUGUACACACACAAACACGGACACAAACUCAAAAAACACAACAAGAGUUCCCCCCAGGCUGAAAAAGAGCAAAGUGGAAAACUGCACCCAGGUGCCGGUGUCAGGAAAAGGAAACGGACUACUGAGUAUGUGCGAGGUCAGGGGUCAUAUUAUGUGUUCCAUGUGAA